ensembl:snRNA U6 U6 spliceosomal RNA
GUAUUUGCUUAGACAGUACAUAUAUUAAUAUUUGGAAAAUACACAGAAGAUUAAUAUGACCCCUGCUCAAGGGUAACACACAAAUUUAUCAAGAAUUCCAUAUUUUU